rnacentral:rRNA from 1 species
GACGAACGCUGGCGGCGUGCUUAACACAUGCAAGUCGAACGGAAAGGCCCUGCUUUUGUGGGGUGCUCGAGUGGCGAACGGGUGAGUAACACGUGAGUAACCUGCCCUUGACUUUGGGAUAAAUUCAGGAAACUGGGGCUAAUACCGGAGAGGAGCUCCUGCUGCAUGGUGUGGUUAGGAAAGUUUCGGCGGUGGGGGAUGGACUCGCGGCUUAUCAGCUGGUUGGUGGGGUAGUGGCUUACCAAGGCUUUGACGGGUAGCCGGCCUGGGAGGGUGACCGGCCACAUUGGGACUGAGAUACGGCCCAGAAUCCUACGGGAGGCAGCAGUGGGGAAUAUUGCACAAUGGGCGGAAGCCUGAUGCAGCAACGCCGCGUGCGGGAUGACGGCCUUCGGGUUGUAAACCGCUUUCGCCGGUGCCGAAGCGUGAGUGACGGUAAUGGGUAAAGAAGCACCGGCUAACUACGUG